UACGUAGGGUGCAAGCGUUGUCCGGAAUUAUUGGGCGUAAAGAGCUCGUAGGCGGUUUUGUCGCGUCUGCUGUGAAAACCCGAGGCUCAACCUCGGGCCUGCAGUGGGUACGGGCAGACUAGAGUGCGGUAGGGGAGAUUGGAAUUCCUGGUGUAGCGGUGGAAUGCGCAGAUAUCAGGAGGAACACCGAUGGCGAAGGCAGAUCUCUGGGCCGUAACUGACGCUGAGGAGCGAAAGCAUGGGGAGCGAACAGG
rnacentral:rRNA from 1 species